rnacentral:rRNA from 1 species
AGCAGCCGCGGUAAUUCCAGCUCCAAUAGCGUAUAUUAAAGUUGUUGCAGUUAAAAAGCUCGUAGUUGAAUUUCGGAAUUUGUCCGUUGGUCGGGCUUCAUUGUCCGUACUGAUGUGAUGGGUUCUUACCUUCUGAAUAACCAGCAUGCCAUUAAUUUGGUGUGUUGGGGAAGCAGGACUAUUACCUUGAAAAAUUAGAGUGCUCAAAGCAGGCUAGUGCCUGAAUACAUUAGCAUGGAAUAAUAAAAUAGGACGGCAUGGUUCUAUUUUGUUGGUUUCUAGGAUCACCGUAAUGAUUAAUAGGGAUAGUUGGGGGCAUUAGUAUUCAAUUGUCAGAGGUGAAAUUCUUGGAUUUAUUGAAGACUAACUUCUGCGAAAGCAUUUGCCAAGGAUGUUUUCAUUAAUCAAGAACGAAAGUUAGGGGAUCGAAGACGAUCAGAUACCGUCGUAGUCUUAACCAUAAACUAUGCCGACUAGGGAUCGGACGAUGUUAAUUUAUAAUGACUCGUUCGGCGUACCG